UACGUAGGAGGCGAGCGUUGUCCGGAAUUACUGGGCGUAAAGCGCGUGUAGGCGGUCUGAAUAGUCUGCUGUGAAAGCGCCUGGCUUAACCGGGCGAGGUCGGCGGAAACUCUCAGACUGGAGGCCGGUAGAGGGGGGGUGGAAUUCCCGGUGUAGUGGUGAAAUGCGUAGAUAUGCGGAGGAACACCGAUGGCGAAGGCAAUCCCCUGGGCCUGCACUGACGCUCAUGCACGAAAGCGUGGGGAGCAAACAGG
rnacentral:rRNA from 1 species